ACAUUUCUUUUAGGUUUUAUUAAAAGUAUCUUCUGCCCUAUGAUUAGUUUUAAAUGGCUGCAGUAUUUUGACUGUACAAAGGUAGCAUAAUAAUUAGUUUCUUAAUUGGGAACUGGAAUGAAUGGAUGGAUGAGAUUCUUAUUUUAUUAAUUUUAUUUUUUGAAUUUAAAUUUUGAGUUAAAAUGCUCAUUUUUUUUUCUGGGACGAUAAGACCCUAUAGAACUUUAAUUUUUAUUUUUUAAUUAGUUUUUAGAUUAAUUUAAUUUUUUUAAAUAUUAAAAUUUUUAAUUGGGGUGAUUUCUAAAUUUAGAACUUUAGAUUUUUAUUUCAAUUAUAUUUGUUUCUUUGAUCCGUUUUUCGAUUUAAAGUUUAAGUUACCUUAGGGAUAACAGCGUAAUUUUAAUGGGGAGUUCAUAUUUAUAUUGAAGUUUGCGACCUCGAUGUUGAAUUAAGAUAAUGUUGGGGGGCAGGUUUUCCAAUUUUAAGUCUGUUCGACUUUUAAAUUCUUACGUGAUCUG
rnacentral:rRNA from 1 species